rnacentral:tRNA from 1 species
GCAGCCAUGGCCUACUGGUUAGGGCUUCGUGCUUGUAACCGAAGGGUUGCCGGUUCGAUCCCCGAGCAGUA